GUGCUCGCUUCGGCAGCACAUAUACUAAAAUUGGAACGAUACAGAGAAGAUUAGCAUGGCCCCUGCGCAGACUUAUCAUAUACAAUAAGAGAACAAGAAGAGCAUACGUUU